GCCAGGAUGGCUUAGUGGCCAACGCACCUGCCUAAUAAGCAGGAGACCCAGGUUCGAUUCCUGGCCUUGGUA